rnacentral:rRNA from 1 species
AUUGAACGCUGGCGGCAUGCUUUACACAUGCAAGUCGAACGGUAACAGGCCGCAAGGUGCUGACGAGUGGCGAACGGGUGAGUAAUGCAUCGGAACGUGCCCAGUCGUGGGGGAUAACGCAGCGAAAGCUGUGCUAAUACCGCAUACGAUCUAUGGAUGAAAGCGGGGGACCGUAAGGCCUCGCGCGAUGGGAGCGGCCGAUGUCAGAGUAGGUAGUUGGUGGGGUAAAGGCCUACCAAGCCGACGAUCUGUAGCUGGUCUGGGAGGACGACCAGCCACACUGGGACUGAGACACGGCCCAGACUCCUACGGGAGGCAGCAGUGGGGAAUUUUGGACAAUGGGCGCAAGCCUGAUCCAGCAAUGCCGCGUGCAGGAAGAAGGCCUUCGGGUUGUAAACUGCUUUUGUACGGAACGAAACGGUCUGGGUUAAUACCCUGGGCUAAUGACGGUACCGUAAGAAUAAGCACCGGCUAACUACGUGCCAGCCGCCGCCGUAAAAC